AAAAAAAUUGAGGGACAAUUUGUGUGUUUCUUGAUUGAGAAGAGCAGCUGAGGUAGAGUGAAAAGGCCGAGUCAUCGUUUCGUUCGUCAGCUUAUAAAUUGGCGUUUCGAUUGUUUCUCGUCUACAU